GCAAGAGGGAGAAUUAUAAUUCUAACUGUUGAAGAGGGCUUCAUAGCAGACUGAACAUUUUAGUGGGUAUUCGUAAUCCAUUCAUCUAUAUAUCCAUCUUUCCCCUACUAUGUUCAAAGCACUAAGCUGGAAGCUAGGGAAAACUUAGAUGAAUGAGAAAAUGGACUCCCUCCGAAGAACUCCAAGCCCAUAGGGGAAAGACACUUAUAGGAUGAAGUAGAGCAAAGGAAGUGGAACUUGGUCUGCAUCUUGCCAAGGAGAAAGACAUGUAAACAUGUCAGUAUGGUUGACCCUUGAACAACACAGGUUCGAGCUGCGCAGGUUCACUUAUACAUGGAUUUUCUUUCACCUCUGCCACCCCUGAGAGAGCGAGACCAACCCCUUCUCUUCCUCCAUCUACUCAACAGGCAGAUGAUGAAGAUGAAGACCUUUAUAUUGAUCUACUUCCAUUUAAUGAAUAAAAUUCUGUCUCAAGAAACAGAGUAUGAGAGAGGAGGACAGCAGAGGGACUGCUAGAGUAUACUGAGGGGGAGAGAUUGAAAGACUGGAACAAACGUGAC